rnacentral:misc_RNA from 1 species
GAUGAAGAACGCAGCGGAAUGCGAUAAGUAAUGUGAAUUGCAGAAUUCAGUGAAUCAUCGAAUCUUUGAACGCACAUUGCGCCCGCCAGUAUUCUGGCGGGCAUGCCUGUUCGAGCGUCAUUUCAACCCUCAAGUCCCCUGUGGACUCGGUGUUGGGGACCGGCGAGACAGCCGCGGAUCUUCUUCCGCAGCGAGUCGCCGCCCCCCAAAUGACUUGGCGGCCUCGUCGCGGCCCUCCUCUGCGUAGUAUAGCACACCUCGCAACAGGAGCCCGGCGAAUGGCCACUGCCGUAAAACCCCCCAACUUUUUCAGAGUUGACCUCGAAUCAGGUAGGAAUACCCGCUGAACUUAAGCAUAUCAAUAAGCGGAGGA